rnacentral:rRNA from 1 species
UACGGAGGGGGCUAGCGUUGUCCGAAGUUACUGGGCGUAAAGCGCGCGUAGGCGGGUUGGUAAGUCCGCUGUGAAAGCCCGGAGCUCAACUCCGGAGGGUCGGUGGAUACUGCCAGUCUUGAAGGUGCUAGGGGGGAGAUGGAAUUACCGGUGUAGCGGUGAAAUGCGUAGAUAUCGGUAGGAACACCAGUGGCGAAGGCGGUCUCCUGGGGCAUUCUUGACGCUGAGGCGCGAAAGCUGGGGGAGCAAACGGG